AUUGAACGCUGGCGGCAGGCCUAACACAUGCAAGUCGAACGAGUGGCGGACGGGUGAGUAAUGUCUGGGAAACUGCCUGAUGGAGGGGGAUAACUACUGGAAACGGUAGCUAAUACCGCAUACCAUCGGAUGUGCCCAGAUGGGAUUAGCUAGUAGGUGGGGUAAAGGCUCACCUAGGCGACGAUCCCUAGCUGGUCUGGGAGGAUGACCAGCCACACGGGAACGGAGAACCGGUCCAGACUCCUACGGGAGGCAGCAGUGGGGAAUAUUGCACAAUGGGCGCAAGCCUGAUGCAGCCAUGCCGCGUGUAUGAAGAAGGCCUUCGGGUUGUAAAGUACUUUCAGCGGGGAGGCGUUACCAACAGAAUAAGCACCGGCUAACUCCGUGCCAGCAGCCGCGGUAAUAC
rnacentral:rRNA from 1 species